rnacentral:rRNA from 1 species
CCUACGGGAGGCUGCAGUGGGGAAUAUUGCACAAUGGGGGAAACCCUGAUGCAGCAACGCCGCGUGAGCGAAGAAGGCCUUCGGGUCGUAAAGCUCUGUCCUAAGGGAAGAAGGAUGACGGUACCUUAGGAGGAAGCCCCGGCUAACUACGUGCCGGCAGCCGCGGCACUACGUAGGGGGCGAGCGUCAUCCGGAAUCACUGGGCGUAAAGGGUGCGUAGGCGGCCGGUAAAGCCUGGGGUGAAAGGCUACGGCUCAACCGUAGUAAGCCUGGGAAACUUAUUGGCUUGAGUGCAGGAGAGGGGGGCGGAAUUCCUGGUGUAGCGGUGAGAUGCGUAGGUAUCGGGGGGAACACCAGUGGCGAAGGCGGGUCUCUGGACUGUAACUGACGCUGAGGCACGAAAGCGUGGGGAGCAAACAGGAGUAGAUACCCCAGUAGUG